rnacentral:rRNA from 1 species
CGCUCUUUGUGAAAAUUUUUAUUACAUAUAAAGAGUUUAGCCUGCCCAGUGACGUUGUUAAACGGCCGCGGUAUUUUGACCGUGCAAAGGUAGCAUAAUCAUUUGCCCUUUAAAUGGGGGCUGGUAUGAAUGGUUGGACGGGAGUAAAGCUGUCUUUUUUUUAUGUCUUGAAUUUUAUGUUUUUGUGAAGAAGCAGAAAUUUAUUCGUAGGACGAGAAGACCCUAUUGAGCUUUAGUAGAAGUAUCAGGAGAAAAAUAAAUUUUUGUAAUCUAAUAAAUAUUAAAUUUAAUAGUUGUAAUUUAAUUGCGAAAAGGGUAAUAAGAUGAUACUAAUACUUUGAUUGGGGCAAUCGUGGAGAAAAGAAAACCUUCAUUAAGAACUAAGUGGAAAUUACAAUUUCAUAAUAAAAUUAAGUGAUCCGCCGGAUAGGCGAGCAAAGGAAUAAGUUACCGUAGGGAUAACAGCGUAAUUUUUUUAGAGAGUUCAUAUUGAUAAAGAAGUUUGCGACCUCGAUGUUGGAUCGGGAUUUCCAGGAGAUGCAGCAGUUUCCGAAGGUUGGUCUGUUCGACCAUUAAAAUCCC